CUACGGCCGCCUGUCGCUCAGCGGGGAGGCGAGGGGCUGCGCGGCGCGGCGCCCGUUGGUACUGCCCGGCCGGGGCCCCGCGUGCGGAGAGGGGAGGCCGCGGCCUCUGUGAGGCGGCGGCGGGGAAGGUGCUGGAAGCGCUUCAGAGCUUCCGGAGCCGCCGGCCAGAGCUCUGCCUCAGCACCAGCCUUAAAAACCGUGACAAAAAUAAAGAGAAAUCCGUCUGGCGGUACGCGCGGCUUGUGGUCCUGCCGUGUGGAGGGAGCCUGCCGCUGAGGAGGUAGCGUGCCCGCUUUACGGGGGGGUCACUCUGCUGCAGCAACGUCUGGCGUUAAGGAAAAGGUUGACAUUUUGCUUCCUAACCAGGUAGGCCCAGCUUUGCAUUUGUGUUUUGCAAGAGUAUUACCUCACGCCUGAUGUUAUUGAACUCUUCUAGUUUCUCUCCAGAAACCAUGAACAUGAGAGACGUCAUUGUUAGCAAAGACAAGACAGAGUUUGAAACAAUUCUGCAGAAAUGGAGAAAUCUGACAGGAAUUUCUGCAAUGAAGCACUGAGUGGCAGAGGGAGGAGUGACAGAGGAACUGCUCUGUAUCCUCAUCCACAAACAGCCUAGGAGAGAAAGAAUAUGUUUCGUUGGUAUGGUGCCAGAGAACACCUGGUCUAAUAGCUUUGCAGACUUUUUCACCAAGACUCUUCCCUGCUCCUCGGCUGUCAUCCGAGGCCAGAGGGGCAUUUGCACUGAGAGGAGCCCAAGCUGCGUGACUGAUGUUGUCUGUAAACCAGCAGCAGAGAAGAGCUGCUCCAGAGCUAUUGCUGAGCCACAAGGUCUGCUUAAAAGGUCAGGGCCAGGUCAUUACUCACUUGGUAAGGCAAGCUGCAGACCCCUGAGAGAAGCCAAGGGGAAGGGAUUUAUCUCAGAGAUUUAUGGCUUAACCAUUGUAUUGUGUUGUGUUUUGUUGCAUAUGGAAACUCCCCUCCCUCUGGUGCAAACAGUAAAAGUGGGAACUAAACCCAGGAUGGUUCCUGCCUUUUGGAGGUACAAGGUAAGGCAGUGUGUGACUAUACAAGCAUAACAGCAGAGGAUGGGAUCUUGCUGAUCCCUAUUGCCCACUGCAGAAGAUGCAGGGCGAAGGCCCCCUCCAGCCCUCUCCUGAUGCAACACUCACCACACCCCUCUUGACAAGACAGUGUGGAGGAAAUCCUGAACAGCAGCAUCACAUCUCCCCACCCCAACACCUCUCUUAAGGACCCAUGGCACUGAGAGGCAGCCUGUCCUGGACUCUGAGCUCCUGGAGGCGUGAGGAUCUCUGAGAUGGCACCAGCACCACCAGGGGAGAGCUCUCCACUGCUCGAGAUGGGACUGUCAGUCCUCCCACAGCAUCUGGCCCUAAGCUGCACUAGGUCUGUUACAACCUGUAACAACCUCCUCAUCUUUUUCCAGUACCUCACAGCACUUUCUGCUCACUGAGCUAGCACUCAGUUCUGUCGCACAGCUCGCUGCUGGGGAGACACAGGGAAACAACCCUGGUGUAUUUCACAUGUUGUCUACCCGCCCUGUCUUUGUUUGCAGUACCUGUCUCUUGUCUCCUCUUAUGUUUGUAGUCGAAGCUCUGUGGAGGUGGGACUGCACAUCUGUCUGUGUGCACAGUGCCUGGCACAGUGCAGCAAGCUGGCUCUGCUCUCCUGCACUACCAAUUAAAUAUAUUAUCACCCUACCAAGGGUAGGUAGGGAAAAAUGUAAGGGACAAAAAGUCCGUGGAUACACCAAGGUCUGUGCCCUGUGUCACCCAGCACAGCCAAGGAUCUGGUGCAAUAUUCCUGUGACUGUUCUUUCCAUUAAUCGUGUUGCAAACUGUCUACUAAGCAGAGAAAAUCUUUUGCUGUGCUUCCCUUCUGUUUACUCCUCACUGGGUUCAUGUCAUGCUAGUAACUGUUUUGCUAUUUUUGCUCUUAAAGAUGUAUUGUUUCACUCUUUCAUGAAGAGCUUCUCCAAGACAAACAGGGAAUUGCACUGAUGUUUUGAUAUAUUCAUCCUUACCCUUUGAAUUUCUGCCUCAGGUGCUCAAACUGAAUGAACUGUACUGCCAUCUGGGGAUGUAGUAUUUUCAUUUCUGUUUGUCGUUCUACCUUUGAAUCCUAUUAAAGAGCCUCAUUCUGGUGUUUAAGGAAUAAAAGGGAAGUCAUUUAAGUGUUUUUACUUACUGUGGUGCUGUAGUCCUCGCUAUAGCAAUUAGGUGCUGAACCAAAACCAGAUCUGGCGUCUCCUGAGACCAAACCAAACAAGUGAAUCCACCAAAGGGCAGACCUCUGCCUGGUGUAUGUGCACUGCUUUCAGCAUCAGGGGAGGAUGAUGCAAUGUACUGCAGGCAUGCCAGGCCCAGGGGAGUGCAUAAACUGUGUCCUGUGUCUCAAACCCAUCAGUACUGGAACUGGUGAAGUACUAGAU